GACGAACGCUGGCGGCGUGCUUAACACAUGCAAGUCGAACGGUAAGGCCUUCGGGUACACGAGUGGCGAACGGGUGAGUAACACGUGGGUGAUCUGCCCCCUACUCUGGGAUAAGCCUGGGAAACUGGGUCUAAUACUGGAUAUGACCUCCUUCUGCAUGGUUGGUGGUGGAAAGUUUUUUCGGUAGGGGAUGAGCCCGCGGCCUAUCAGCUUGUUGGUGGGGUAAGGGCCUACCAAGGCGACGACGGGUAGCCGGCCUGAGAGGGCGACCGGCCACACUGGGACUGAGACACGGCCCAGACUCCUACGGGAGGCAGCAGUGGGGAAUAUUGCACAAUGGGCGAAAGCCUGAUGCAGCGACGCCGCGUGGGGGAUGACGGCCUUCGGGUUGUAAACCCCUUUCAGUCGGGACGAAGCGUGAGUGACGGUACCGAUAGAAGAAGCACCGGCCAACUACGUGCCAGCAGCCGCAGUAAAAC
rnacentral:rRNA from 1 species